UUCCAUGUUGCAUUUAUUUUUGUUCAGUGAAUAGGGCAUGGUUGGCUGUCAUCAGGUAAAGGUGUAUAUGGUUGGCUGUCAUCGGGUAAAGGUGUAUAUGGUUGGCUGUCAUCGGGUAAAGGUGUAUAUGGUUGGCUGUCAUCGGGUAAAGGUGUAUAUGGUUGGCUGUCAUCGGGUAAAGGUGUAUAUGGUUGGCUGUCAUCGGGUAAAGGUGUAUAUGGUUGGCUGUCAUCGGGUAAAGGUGUAUAUGGUUGGCUGUCAUCGGGUAAAGGUGUAUAUGGUUGGCUGUCAUCGGGUAAAGGUGUAUAUGGUUGGCUGUCAUCGGGUAAAGGUGUAUAUGGUUGGCUGUCAUCGGGUAAAGGUGUAUAUGGUUGGCUGUCAUCGGGUAAAGGUGUAUAUGGUUGGCUGUCAUCGGGUAAAGGUGUAUAUGGUUGGCUGUCAUCGGGUAAAGGUGUAUAUGGUUGGCUGUCAUCGGGUAAAGGUGUAUAUGGUUGGCUGUCAUCGGGUAAAGGUGUAUAUGGUUGGCUGUCAUCAGGUAAAGGUGUAUAUGGUUGGCUGUCAUCAGGUAAAGGUGUAUAUGGUUGGCUGUCAUCAGGUAAAGGUGUAUAUGGUUGGCUGUCAUCAGGUAAAGGUGUAUAUGGUUGGCUGUCAUCAGGUAAAGGUGUAUAUGGUUGGCUGUCAUCAGGUAAAGGUGUAUAUGGUUGGCUGUCAUCAGGUAAAGGUGUAUAUGGUUGGCUGUCAUCAGGUAUAGGUGUAUAUGGUUGGCUGUCAUCAGUCUUCAGGUAAAGGUGUAUAUGGUUGGCUGUCAUCAGUCAUCAGGUAAAGGUGUAUAUGGUUGGCUGUCAUCAGGUAAAGGUGUAUAUGGUUGGCUGUCAUCAGGUAAAGGUGUAUAUGGUUGGCUGUCAUCAGGUAAAGGUGUAUAUGGUUGGCUGUCAUCAGGUAAAGGUGUAUAUGGUUGGCUGUCAUCAGGUAAAGGUGUAUAUGGUUGGCUGUCAUCAGGUAAAGAUGUAUAUGGUUGGCUGUCAUCAGGUAAAGGUGUAUAUGGUUGGCUGUCAUCAGGUAAAGCUCUUUAUGGUUGGCUGUCAUCAGGUAAAGGUGUAUAUGGUUAAGGUGUAUAUGGUUGGCUGUCAUCAGUCAUCAGGUAAAG